GUACUCGCUUCGGCAGGACAUACACUAAAAACACUGGAAUGAUAUGGAUAAGAUUAGCCUCCUGUGCAAGGAUGGCACUCAAAAAUUUGUGAAGCAUUCCAUAUUUUU